UUUUUUUUUUUUUUUUUUAUCAAUAUUGAAAAUUGUACAAUUGGAUCGUAACUCAAUCUAAUGGGGAUUUUGGUUUUAUUUUCAGACUGAUCUGCGUUUCCAGAGCCAUGCUGUGCUUGCAUUGCAAGAGGCUGCUGAGGCAUACCUUGUUGGGCUCUUUGAGGACACUAACUUGUGUGCCAUUCACGCCAAGCGUGUGACUAUUAUGCCCAAGGAUAUUCAGCUGGCAAGAAGGAUUCGUGGUGAGCGUGCUUGAGUUGGUGCGUUCUGUGUUUGUGAAGAUGGAUUGUUGGUGGCUGCGGAUGGUGUUUUGUUACUAAGUUUUCUUUUUGUUGAAGCCUAUAGGUUAUUAGGGAAAAAUAGGUGUUUACUUGGUAGUCAUAUUAAUUGUCAUUGGCAAAUACUGCCUAAGACACUGUGAAGGUCUGGUUGUUAGAAAUUUGGCAUGUAUUUGAUUUUUUUGGAUCCUUUAUUUCUCGUUUUAUUUCUGGUUGUGCAGCCACUUUGGGAAUUGUAUUGGACAACUUUCUGUUGCCGUCUAAUCUAGUUGAAGCUAGCUUAUCGUGUCUGUUUGUUCUGAUUAUGGAUUUCCAUCCUUAUGCUAUUUCUCGCAUAUUUGGCCGAAUUGCGCAACCCGUCCAGCGUAAUUUGGUUUAUAACAGAAGACGAAUUUAACGUUUCGUUAGAUGAAACAAUAAUAAGUAAUACUUGUAAUCCCCUUUUUACUAUUAAGUCUUGCCAACUAACUUGUAAUGUUUGAAUUUGAAAGUGUUGUAAAUUGGAAAUGAUAUUGGGGUUUCUUUCUUAUAAAUUUAGUUGAUCUUUUAAGUAAACUAAAUCCUUAUUAGAAAUAUCAAAUAAUUUUACUUCUGUAAAAUGCUAAUGCUGCUAUUAUUUUUCAGCAUGCGAAUUUAUUCAAUUCAAUCAUGUUAGACCGGAUUAGUAUUGGAUUUGAUUAAAAUCCAAACAAGUGAUUGAGUUAAAACAAGACGGAAGCAAAAAAAACUAUUUGCAUCUGGUUUUUGACUAAAAAAAUGGAGUUUGGCAAGUAUUUUUAGUUUGCAAAAUGCCAGGUAAUAUUGAUACCAUAAGAAUUAGCACAGGAAAGGGAAGGUUUUGUUCGGCAAUGUAUUAGUGUUUUCGAUUUUUUUAAAAGCAAGACAAGAAUACACAAGAAGGCUACAACUUUUGAAUUAGAGUAACCAAUGGGAAUGGGACAAUUAGACUUGGCGAUCCGGAUUUGGGGUCCCAAAUGGCAUCGUAGCCGUUUAUUAAAUUAAAGAAAACACAGCUCGACACUAAAUGAACCGUACGAUUCAAAACGUAAAAAACACACGGAUAAUGAAUCGUAUCCGUUCGAUCACUGACAAACGCCUCCAGGAGCAUGCUAUAUAUAGGUUUCACUUCUUAACUUUCAAGAGCUUUAGAUUCAUUUCCCCUAGAUUCAGCCACAGUUGGAAAAAAAAAAAAAGUUGUUCGAGGUUAGUUUUUCUUCUGGGAUUUGGAAAUUUAGGGCUUAUAUCUUUGUCUUUUUAAUUUCUGUUGAUUUCCAAAUCGCGUAUCUUAGUUUAGACCGUUGAAUUUUUUUUCUUGGUUGAUUUUUCUCUAGUUACAGCGUUCUAAUUCUUGCGCCUCCAAGUCAAUAUUUUCAUCUAGUAAUCUCUAGGGUUUUUGAUGUUUGUUUUGUUAUAGAGAAUUAGUCGAUAAUUUCAUCUGUUAACGUGUUAUAUGUCUUUAAUUUCUUAAUUAAAUAAACGAAGAUUAUGGAUAAAUAUUUAAAGUUUUGAAGAUUAGGUUAUGCGAUAAAAAGGGGCAAGAAAGGUUCUAUUGUUUUUUUUUUGUUUUGUUUGAAAUUGAUGUUCUGGUUUAUGUUUUUCUGAAAUUACUUUUGGGCGUGGACACAGAUGGCACGUACGAAGCAAACUGCUCGUAAGUCCACAGGAGGAAAGGCACCUAGGAAGCAGCUCGCAACCAAGGUAUCUUCGGUUUACUUCUAGGCUUAUUUUGGGUCCUUGAAAUUUUACCUGAGAGCUUAAUUCCUUUGUUUUUCUUUAGGCUGCACGUAAGUCUGCACCAACUACUGGUGGUGUGAAGAAGCCACAUCGUUAUCGUCCUGGUACCGUUGCUCUUCGGUGAGUGUUUUCGGGUUUUAAUUUGUUUUGUGUUCUUUGUAUUCCGUUGGUCGUGAUCUCUAAUAAUAUAAUUGAUUCUGGAAAACAGUGAGAUUAGGAAAUACCAGAAGAGUACCGAGCUUUUGAUCAGGAAGCUCCCCUUCCAGAGGCUGGUUCGUGAAAUUGCUCAGGACUUCAAGGUAUUGUAAUGUGUGUUGUUAUUGUUGUUCAAUAUCUGUGUGUUUUUUUGCUGAAUUUGUUAACAAGGAAAUUUUUGGUGUGAUUUUGUUGCAGACUGAUCUGCGUUUCCAGAGCCAUGCUGUGCUUGCAUUGCAAGAAGCUGCUGAGGCAUACCUUGUUGGACUCUUUGAGGAUACUAAUCUGUGUGCCAUUCACGCUAAGCGUGUAACUAUUAUGCCCAAAGAUAUCCAGCUGGCAAGAAGGAUUCGUGGUGAGCGUGCUUGAUGUGGUGGUGGUGGUGGUGGUUGUGAAGAUGAUGAUGGGUGGCUGCGGAUGGUGUUUUGUUAUUCAGAUUUCUUUUUUAUUCAAAGAUAGGGUUGUUAGGGAGUAGGUAUUAAUUGUGAUACGGGCAAAUACUGCUAAGUGUCCAUGACUGUGUCUUCUUCCUUUCAGAAAAUUGGCAUGUAAUUGAUUUUUGGACAUAUGUGUCUGUCUGUCAUAAUGUUUAUGUUUUUACGGGAUGUGUGCAGCCACUUUGGACAACAUUCAGUUGCCAUCUAAUCUCGUUUAAGCUAUGUUUCUUGUGCUUUGCCUUGUUCUUAUCGGGAGAUCUAUCCCAGUUGUUGGUUACUUCGUUUGUAUGUAUUAUUCACCUUACACUUUGCAUAAUCGGUCAUCUGUAACUUGUAUAUAUGGAAUACGUGCAUAAACAAAUGGGUGUGUAUCCUGAGGGGUUCUUAAUGGUAACUGUCAAAUGUAUAAUUGCAUUUGGGUAGGAAGAAAGAUGUGCAUGAAGAAUCGUAAGUAAGCUUUAGCCGGCGGCUGGAGAACUUGAGUUUAUGAUAAAAAGCAGCUCAAUGAUAAUUAGUCUCAUCGCCAAUUGGAUUUCAUAUUCAAUGAAUCAACCAUCAUGUUUCACAUUGUUGUAAUGUAAGUAUUAUUUAGAAGGUAAAGCAAAUAUUUGGUAAAAGUUACAUGUCGUUUAGGUAGAAUGAUGCUAUAUGAUAG
rnacentral:lncRNA from 1 species